rnacentral:tRNA from 1 species
GCGAAAAUGUUUUACAGCUUCCCAAGCUGAGGGUCGCGGGUUCGAAUCCCGUUUUCCGCU